UUCUGUUGGUUUGUACACAUAUUGUUUUAGCAUAAUUGUGUUGAUUAUACAUUAUGUAGUUACGUUUUUUUUAGUGACGAGUGCUUCACGAGGAUAUGCUUUUGUGGAGUAUGAGACUGAGAAGGAGAUGCGCCAUGCUAGUGGAGUUUAGUUGCAGGAAAGGAAUGUUCUUCGUGGUGGUUUUUUACAAGAUGCUCAUCAUUCAUUUAUUGAUGGUCAAGAGAUUAUCUAAACUAUUAAAGGGGAAGUACAAAUAGUAUUUAGCCCUAAGUUUUUCUCAAAUAUUACAAUCUAAUGCCACUGGAAUUAAAACACGGUAGUUUUACUAAACCUGCUUAAACCUAGGAUGUUGCCCCCACCCCCACUUCUAACGCCGACGUUUCACCCACAUGAUAAUGGCUUUCGUCGAGCUCUGCGCCGGCCUAUAUGUUUACUCUGGAGAUCCAAAGUAGCGUGAGGUAAGAGUAUGUUUUGUAUACGUGGAGUUACACUAUUUCGUUGCACGAGUGAUCAUAAAGGUUUCUUCUUUACAGGCUAUGAAUAAAUACGG